rnacentral:lncRNA from 12 species
UGGGAGUUCUGCAGGCUGUAGACACUGGGCCGAAGCCAUGCAGGGCUGGGUCUGCCUCCUGGAGGGGGCAACGGGGGGCAGGCCACUCUGACCAGGAACUCUUUCCUCUCCCGGGACCCAAAAAUCACCCUUUUUUUUGAAAUCACUAUUUUGGACACGUGUGCACUGGGAUUCUGGCUCCCGGGUACCAGGGCCUGACUCCUGCUGCCCAGCAAGGUUUCCACGAGAUGCAGCCAACACUCCAUGGAUCCAAUGACUUCAAGUUUGGUCUUGGCUGUGGCCACACCCCAUUCCCAACAGCGGCUGGGGACGGAGGACAUACAGGACACAGGAGAAGAGCCAUGCAGGGGGGUGGAAAUGUCCACUCUUGUGAGGCCCCCGUGGUCAACGAGCCUCGAAGUCUGCGAGAGCAGAGACGUGGCCGUGGUAACAUGCAUCAGCAGCAGCAUCCUUACGUCACUCAUGCUCACCUCUGCAUACCACGGAAGGUGAGAAGAGGGAUGGUGCCUGGCCAGCGAGGCGGUGGCACGCCGUGUGAGGAGCGGCACCCCAGGAGGAGUGUCUCUCACCUUGUCCGCCCUCGGCAGAUGUCAGGGAGGAGCUGCUGGUGCUCUGCAGGCCAUGUGCUGCUCAGAUAGUGACCCAGGGCUGGAGCCGGGGGACUUGAGGCUCGACUGCCUGGAAACACCUGUCCCACAGACGGAGGCUUUGGGGGGGCACCUAGGGAACCCAUCUGAAGUGAGUCAGGGACAGAGGGUGUGGAGGCUUGCUCAUCACUGGCCUCCACCUCCGAGGAGCCCUCUGGAGACACCCCGGGGCUGGGGCAGGUGCCUGCUCUGGCCUCGUUCUCUGCAUUCCUGACUGUGCUCCCCUCUGCCUGGAGGGCUCACAUCAGCCAGGCAGGGGGUUCAGAGGUGCGGGAUUCAGAGGGGCAGAGCCAGGCACUCCCUGGCCCGGCCUCCUCGGGCCCUGGCAUUCCUGGGAGCAGCCACCAGUGCCAGGGCCCGCGCACCCAGCCCCACACUCCUGAAGCAGUCCUGUGAGGGGGCAGCCGCAAGGACACCCGAGUUCCAGGCUCGUCUCCCCCAGGGAGUUUGGGGACUGCCUUGUGGACGCGGGAGCGGGCAUGUGGUUUGGGGGAACGCAUCCCGCUGACCUGUACCCGUGUCCCUCAGUUUCCCCACAGCGGAGCCGAUGUGCUUCUGAUUCCUUCUUCGCGAUUCUGAAGGCCCGUGGGAACUGUCAGUGCGUGUCUGACGUUGGCUGCGUGUCAAUUAACGGGGGUCAUGGGUUUUGGCAGGAGAGGCCGCGGGAGCUGGGCUGUCCUUGCAGGUGGUGCACACUCCAUCUGUCACCCCACUGGCCCCGGACCUGUGUCCAGUCCAUGUGACUCUGACUCGAGUCACAGGAAACGCUCAUUUCCACGCUGCUGGAUCACGUGUGGCAGCUGCUAAGGAAGCCACCUCUUCUCAUAAUUUUUGUUAAAAAAUAUUUUAUUUAUUUAUUUAUGAUAGAGAGAGAGAGAGAGAGGAGAGAGAGAGAGAGAGGCAGAGACACAGGAGGAGGGAGAAGCAGGCUCCAUGCCGGGAGCCCGACGUGGGACUUGAUCCUGGGACUCCAGGAUCAUGCCCUGGGCCAAAGGCAGGCGCUAAGCCACUGAGCCACCCAGGGAUCCCCCUCUUCUCAUAAUUUGGCAUAUGAGGAGCACAUACACUGCAUGUUUACCCAUCGACCCCAUGGAAAGCUGUCCUUCGGUGACAUGAAGGGCAUAUCGUAGCUCUCUGUGUGCAUGGCGUGUAAGUGCGUGUGUUUGCACACAAGGGACAGAAAACCAACAACACAUGAGCACUUGUCCAGUUGGGAUGCUCACCGCCCAGGUACAGCGCGUCCUCUCCGUGGCUGGUGUGCAGACAAGGAGCAUAGGCUUGCUGAGGGCUGAGGGGGCAAGCCCGAGCCCCUGUGCCCUGCUCUCCAUGUCCGUGGCCUGGGCUGGUGCCGCUGCUUCUCGCACACCCGCGGCUGAAGCACCCACCGCCCCGUCUGUGCCGUCUCCCAGCACUCAGCCCGGCCGUUGGGGACACAUGGCCCGUGUGCAGCCCCCUCCCCCUGCACUGUCCAUGGAGAGCUAGAGGCUCCCAAGCCGGGCAGGUUGGUGUUCCUUCCCCAGGUAAUCAGAGGUACAGAUAGAACAGAGCCUCUGGCUGACGGACGCCCGGUGGACAGGGCUGUUCAUUUAUGGGGUGCAGCAGGGCCGGCUGGGAAAUUUUGGUCACUUUAAUUUACCGUAUCCAGCCUGCCUGCUGCACGCGGCGGCACUUUUAUCAAGCCCUGUGAGGUGGUAUUGAUUUUUUUAUUUUCUAUGUAGGAUAAGAAGACAGAGAGUUAGGGCAGGAGUGAAUGAAGAACUUUCCUUGGAUGGCCGUGGCUCUGCACCUUAUUCCAUCCUGUCGUCUAUGCUUCAGAUGAAGUUGGGCGUCAAGGCUGCUGAGGGGACAGACAGGCUGCAGCACAGCAGCAGCGGGAAGGCCUGAGGCGGACGGGGCAGAGUGAGGAGGCCCGGGGGUAGGGGACAGACAGACGAGGAGGCUGGGGGUGGUGACAGAUGAGGAGGCUGGAGGGGGGAACAGAUAAGUAGGCAGGGGGACAGAUGAGGAGGCGGGCAGAGGGACUGAGGAGGUUGGGAGCCCUGGAGCCCCAGGUCCAGCAGCACCGUCCUCACAGUCUGCUCGCCCCAGGUCUGCACAUAGUGACUAUGCAGCAGGACAGUCACCACUUCUGCCUGGAGAUUUAUUUCCUGAAAUUAAGAAAUGAACAGACACAAAAUGACAACAAAACACGCAGGCUGCACACAACCCCUGUGUCCCUAGGUAAUCUUCCUGUUUGUUCUUGUGACAGGAUCCCGGGGACAUGUCCAGGUGUGAACCCCAACCCCAGGUGUGGACCCUGACCCGGGUGUGGGCACCAACCCCAGGUGUGGGCAGCAUCCCUGUCAGCAGAGCUCUGGGAGGCAGAGGUGGCCCACAAGGGCCCUGGUGGCAGCACGAAGUGAGUCUUUCUGUCCUCAGACCCUGUAGCGAGCGCAGGGCCCCCAGUCCUUGUUUCAGCACGCCAGAGUCUGGUGCGCAUAAUGGAAGGUGAUGCAAAGCAGAGGCUCACCAUGUGACCUCCCUGUGUGUUGGAGGGGACGGAGACAUGGCGUAAGAACAGGAUUCCAGGAGUCUAGCUGCCGGGUGUCUGCUGCUCUGUCGUUCACAGUGGCCCCCCCUUGAUACGCCCGAUGGAGACGGUUGCUUGCUCGAGCCUUCCUUCUUUGGAGCUGGGGAUGUGCUGAUGACGUGGGUGCUGUGAGGACAGAUAGCAGCACGGCUCUGACCUGGUGUGUGUGGCCUGACGGCGUCCUGCUCCCGCUUUCAGAGGCACGGUGAACCCCAGGACCAUACUCGUCCCUGAGGCAGCAGGUGCACUCUCUUGGCUCCCGUACCGUCGAGGAGUGAUAUGUGGCUUAGCACAGACAACGAGGCACACAUGUGGAAGAUGGGGCAGCGGGUCCUGUGAAAGUAGCCUCGGAGUCACCGCAGAGCCAUGUGGAAAGAGGGGCUGGGGGACUACAGGCGGGCGGAGGGCCGGGCACACCAUCCAGAGCAGGUGGGAGCCUGCUGCCCCUGGGGCAGUGCUCGGCCUCCUCCAGACACUUCAAAGACCCCCGUUCAGCAUGACCAGGUAGGACAACAGCAUGCGUAGGCAAGGGUGGUCUGGUUUGGGGGGGUCUGACCUGAGGAGCCGUGACCUCGUUGUGAGUGGGUUCCCCUGUGGUUUGGUCGUCACAGGAGGGAGACACUUCAGUCUGCUGGGUCAUGGAGUAACUUGAGAAACCAGACGAAGAGGGUGUUUGUGAACAUGGGCACACCCAUGUCUUCUCUCCAUGUCAAUAUCCUUUGUUUACACGACGGUGAUCAAAUCCCCCCUCACACAAAUCCAGAGCUGGUGCGUGAUGCCGGGUCCUCGUGCGCUCAGCUCAGGGACGAUGUCGCUCACUUACACAUGCAACCCAACCAAGCACUGGGUUUACUUUUACAACAUGAAUUGUGUGGUCAACAGCGGGGUGGUGCUUGGAUAGCACAGGUGCGUGCACAGUAAUCUGGGAGCUGAAUCCGUAGAGAUCUUUCAUUUCCUGGCCCCGCAGCUUCCGACUUCUGAUGGCCCCUCUUUCCGUUCUGACCCUCACCUGCACUCGUAGGUGGGGCGGCUGUUUGCAGAUGAGUCGUCCCCUGUGACUGUUCCAGAGCAGGUGCCUGGGGAAUAUCUACUGCUGAAUAACUGGUGUGUGUGUGUGUGUGUGUGUGUGUGUAAAUGAUAUGUAAGAUUGGAAUGUAAAAUUCCCUAAAAAAAAAAGGAUUUUGCUAAUGUAUGAAGUUGAAUCAGAAGAGGCAUGAACGAGACUUAGAAUUAGGCCUGAUGUUAAUAUCCUCGAGGCCAAACAUGGCCAUUCAUGCCAGGCAUCAUAUCCCCUUAGCAUCUGCAACUUUAAAUCUAAUAAUGUAACUUGAUGCUUUAAAGAAAAACACCUUUAACCUCAAGGCUCUUCUUCUUCCGUUAAAAUCAACAAAGGGAACCCAUUAUUGGCCGAGGACGACCUAGUGGUAACUUGCAGGAGGCGUCUAUGUCGAGAGAGGCCCAACAUGAUUGGAAUAAGGUUUCAGUGAAAUAAAAUUAAUAUGUGACUUUAAACA